AAGUCGUAACAAGGUUUCCGUAGGUGAACCUGCGGAAGGAUCAUUACUGAGAUAGGGUCCUUCGGGGCCCGACCUCCAACCCUUUGUCUACCUUACCACUGUUGCCUCGGCGGGACGCCGGCGCCUUCUAGGCGUCGCCGUUGGUGCUCGCACCCUCGUGUGCCCGCCGACCGGCCAAUUUUAAACCCUUUUAAACAUAGCCUUCUUAGAGUAUAUUUAAUACUUCAAAACUUUCAACAACGGAUCUCUUGGUUCUG
rnacentral:misc_RNA from 1 species